UCUGCGCUGGUCUGAGCCAGAUAUAUUCACAGUUUAAGGCAGGGAAGGUCGAGAUAUAAUUAAGGCGACUAAUUAUUCCCAUUCUUCAUGCAUGUAUAAGCUAGAACUUGAAUUGUAUAAAUAAUAAUCUAUUUCGAUACAAUUGGGUGGCGCAUUUUUUUAGUCAUAUUCCGAAUUUUGGGUGUUAUAUGAUAAAUAUGGAUUUCAGCAUUGAGUUGUUGUUUCUUUUCUUAUAUACUUUUCAAGUGUAUUUAUUUACGUGUUUUGCAACGUUUUACUUUAUGGACUUGAAUUGUAUAAAUAAUAAUCUAUUUCGAUACAAUUGGGUAGCGCAUUUUUUCAGUCAUAUUCCGAAUUUUGAGUGUUAUAUGAUGAAUAUAGAUUUCAGCAUUGAGUUCUUGUUUCUUUUCUUAUAUACCUUUCGAUUGUAUUUUUUGCGUGUUUUGCAACGUUUUUCUUUAUGGAUCAAGUCAACUUGAAUUGUUUAAAUAAUAAUCUAUUUCGAUACAAUUGGGUAGCGCAUUUUUUCAGUCAUAUUCCGAAUUUUGAGUGUUAUAUGAUGGAUAUAGAUUUCAACAUUGAGUUCUUGUUUCUUUUCUUAUAUACCUUUCGAGUUUAUUUAUUUACGUGUUUUGCAACAUUUUUUUUUAUGGAUCAAGUCUUGUCUUCUGAUCAUAUUUUUUGUAAGUUGUAAUCCGCGACAACGUGCUGUUUAUAAUUUUCCUACUUUGCACAAGAACUUUGUAUCAUCGCCAAAAAGUAAGCCAUAACUAUUUUCAAAUUACAGGCUUAAAAGUGAAGAAAAAUAUACCGAUAUAAUAUGAUAUUGGCAUGAUUGAUGGUGGAGUGACGACUGAUUGAUGUAGAUAGAAAGGGCUUUGCGAAGAAGGAAGAUAUUGUUACUGCUGGUGGUCGAGUGGCGAUUGGUCGAUGUAAAUAAAAAGCAGGCAUACGAAUGCGAAAUGAGAUUUAGAAGAAACAAGAGAGCAAUGCACAAUAUGGAGACUGAGUCGGAACGAAAUAUUUCACCCGUAUAUUCUCCAAAAAUCAUACCUUGGUCUCGAGAUAGCUGUAGUUUAUAAUGACGGGAACAGCGAAUCAAGGCGAUCUCUAUUACAAAUUUGGAUAAAGUUCGUACUGGGCGGAAGCAAAAGACGAUUAAUCUCACGUGAAGCAGACGUAAAAUGGCAGUUUUAUCUUGAUAUAGUGUUUUAGAAUUGUACCAAUCGUAUUUUCCAUUUUAUUUUAAUCGGUUCUGUAUCCGGGUUUUGGAGGUCAGCGCUUGCUUAGACCCCCCCCCCUCCAAGUCGUGGGCCAUUUUAGGUAUUGAUUGGUUUAGGGACACUGAGAUUUCUUGAUGUGUAUAUGUGAG